UACGUAGGUGUCAAGCGUUGUCCGGAUUUAUUGGGCGUAAAGCGCCCGCAGGCGGCUUGCCAAGUUCGAUGUGAAAUCUCCCGGCUCAACUGGGAGGGUGCAUCGAAAACUGGCAGGCUUGAGGCAGGGAGAGGGAUGUGGAAUUCCAGGUGUAGUGGUGAAAUGCGUAGAUAUCUGGAGGAACACCGAUGGCGAAGGCAGCCCCCUGGGUUAACACUGACGCUCAGGCACGAAAGCGUGGGGAGCAAACAGG
rnacentral:rRNA from 1 species